UGGAGCUGGCCAAGGGCAAUGCCACACUGC
rnacentral:piRNA from 1 species